GGGGAAUAUUGCACAAUGGGCGCAAGCCUGAUGCAGCGACGCCGCGUGGGGGAUGAAGGCCUUCGGGUUGUAAACUCCUUUCGCUAGGGACGAAGCUUUGUGUGACGGUACCUAGAUAAGAAGCACCGGCUAACUACGUGCCAGCAGCCGCGGUAAUACGUAGGGUGCGAGCGUUGUCCGGAAUUACUGGGCGUAAAGGGCUCGUAGGUGGUUUGUCGCGUCGUCUGUGAAAUUCUGGGGCUUAACUCCGGGCGUGCAGGCGAUACGGGCAUAACUUGAGUGCUGUAGGGGUAACUGGAAUUCCUGGUGUAGCGGUGAAAUGCGCAGAUAUCAGGAGGAACACCGAUGGCGAAGGCAGGUUACUGGGCAGUUACUGACGCUGAGGAGCGAAAGCAUGGGUAGCGAACAGGAUUAGAUACCCUGGUAGUCCAUGCCGUAAACGGUGGGCGCUAGGUGUGAGGGUCUUUCUACGACUUUCGUGCCGUAGCUAACGCAUUAAGCGCCCCGCCUGGGGAGUACGGCCGCAAGGCUA
rnacentral:rRNA from 1 species